AAAAUCUUUAGAAACGUGGUAGCGAGUCGCACCGAGCCUUUUCUAGUCUUAUGCUUUAACGGAACCGAUAGUUUACCAAUGGUUCAGUUAUGAUAAGGAAACACCUACGGACAUACCAAUUAUGAUGCAUGUGUUAUAUAUAUAUAUAUAUAUAUAUUUUUUUUUUACGGGGGGAACUUAAUAAAUGUUUAAUUUAUUUUUCUUUUGUAAAUAAAUGAUACAGGAAAGACCAACGGACAUGCCAUCUGCGGGAAAAAAAGAAGAAGAUGCAUUAUAUGGAUGGCAAGUCUGGCACACGAACGGCACAAAAUGUCCGGAGGGAUCAAUUCCAAUUCGAAGGCUGAUUUCCCUUGGGAACGAGACUAUCAUCACUUCUAACGCCGGGGAUAGAGUCACCGGUGGACACGAGGUACGUAUUUGUUUGUGUUUUAACUAAAUAUUUGCCAUUAAGGCAGUUUAACAAUAAAUCUAUUCAUCUAAUGUGAACCAAACAUAAAUCUGACCAUGAAUGUCGAUGCAUAUGGAAAUAUAGGUUUAAGAAUGAUUUUUGAACACGCCCAAAUAUUUUCCCAUAGGAUUAUUUGUUCCAUCUUUGGUUGGACUUCUCAUUUUGUUGGGCUUAAGCAACAAAUCAUUCGAUUGUUUUUGGAUAUCAUGCGACAAUGAAUGUGUGGCAGCCAAAUGUAGAAGUAUUUAACGAGUUCAGCUUGGGUCAACUCUGGCUAGUCUCAGGUUCAUACAACGACAGUAAUAUCAAUAGCAUCGAGGCGGGCUUUAGUAGUUCGAUCUCUCCAUCUUCAUCUUCAUCUUCGUAUUCAAAAUAUCUCAUAAUAAUAAUAAUGAAUUUUGGCUAGUAAGGUUAUAAACAUAGGAGGAAGUCCAUCAUUAUUAUGCUAUUUAUGUUUGAUUAAGAAUUUAAGAAUAUGUUUUAUAAUAUACUCGAUUUCAAGGAGAAAACCACUUAUGAUAAUAAAUAGUUUUUUUUUUUU
rnacentral:sRNA from 1 species